AUACUUAUCUAGACAAGGUCAAUAAGUGAUCAAUAAAAUCUAUGGCCUAGAUUGGUGACUUCCAUUGCACUUUAAAAAGGUACAUGCUUAAGAUCGGCCCAAGUGAUCGAGCCUACGUUAUAAUUUGUGAUAGUGGGGUCUGCCAUCGCAUGAUCCUA